CAGCAGCCGCGGUAAAACGGAGGGGGCUAGCGUUGUUCGGAAUUACUGGGCGUAAAGCGUGCGUAGGCGGUUUGUUAAGUCUGUUGUGAAAUCCCCGGGCUCAACCUGGGAACGGCAAUGGAUACUGGCAAGCUAGAGUGUGUCAGAGGAUGGUGGAAUUCCCGGUGUAGCGGUGAAAUGCGUAGAGAUCGGGAGGAGCAUCAGUGGCGAAGGCGGCCAUCUGGGACAACACUGACGCUGAGGCACGAAAGCGUGGGGAGCAAACAGGAUUAGAUACCCGUGUAGUCCCUGUCUCUUAUAC
rnacentral:rRNA from 1 species